GGUUAAGCGACUAAGCGUACACGGUGGAUGCCCUGGCAGUCAGAGGCGAUGAAGGACGUGCUAAUCUGCGAAAAGCGUCGGUAAGGUGAUAUGAACCGUUAUAGCCGGCGAUGUCCGAAUGGGGAAACCCAGUGCAAUUCGUUGCACUAUCGUUAACUGAAUACAUAGGUUAACGAGGCGAACCGGGGGAACUGAAACAUCUAAGUACCCCGAGGAAAAGAAAUCAACCGAGAUUCCCCCAGUAGCGGCGAGCGAACGGGGAGCAGCCCGGAGUCUGAAUCAGCUUGUGUGUUAGUGGAAGCGUCUGGAAAGUCGCAGGGUACAGGGUGAUACUCCCGUACACUAAAACACACAGGUUGUGAACUCGAAGAGUAGGGCGGGACACGUGGUAUCCUGUCUGAAUAUGGGGGGACCAUCCUCCAAGGCUAAAUACUCCUGACUGACCGAUAGUGAACCAGUACCGUGAGGGAAAGGCGAAAAGAACCCCGGCGAGGGGAGUGAAAAAGAACCUGAAACCGUGUACGUACAAGCAGUAGGAGCCC
rnacentral:rRNA from 1 species